UACGUAGGGGGCAAGCGUUAUCCGGAAUUACUGGGCGUAAAGCGCACGCAGGCGGUUCGCCAAGUUUGGAGUGACAGUUGUCGGCUCAACCGACAAAGGACUUCAAAAACUGGUGAACUUGAGGACGAGAGAGGAACAUGGAACUCCAGGUGUAGUAGUGAAAUGCGUAGAUAUCUGGAAGAACACCAAUGGCGAAGGCAACGUUCUGGCUCGUUUCUGACGCUCAGGUGCGAAAGCCAGGGGAGCGAACGGG
rnacentral:rRNA from 1 species